rnacentral:rRNA from 1 species
GGGGAAUUUUCCGCAAUGGGGGCAACCCUGACGGAGCAACGCCGCGUGGGGGAGGAAUGUCUGUGGAUUGUAAACCCCUUUUCUCAGGGAAGAAGUUCUGACGGUACCUGAGGAAUCAGCAUCGGCUAACUCCGUGCCAGCAGCCGCGGUAAGACGGAGGAUGCAAGCGUUAUCCGGAAUUAUUGGGCGUAAAGCGUCCGUAGGCGGUUUAUCAAGUCUGCCGUUAAAGACUGCAGCUUAACUGUGGGCAAGCGGUGGAAACUGAGGAACUGGAGUGCGGUAGGGGUAGAGGGAAUUCCCAGUGUAGCGGUGAAAUGCGUAGAUAUUGGGAAGAACACCAGUGGCGAAGGCGCUCUACUGGGCCGUAACUGACGCUGAGGGACGAAAGCUAGGGGAGCGAAAGGGAUUAGAUAC